ensembl:lncRNA
AGCAACAGCCUGUCAUUUGUGGCGUGCUUUUGAGGGAGUGAAUUGCCUUGAAGGUUGUGGAAUAACACUCAUGCUAAUCUGAGCGUCCUUGCAAGUGCUUUAAAGGUCUUAAACUAUCUGGAGAGUGUCUUAGGCCGAGUGUUCCCAGUGUGCUGCGAACCUGCACUAUACGCCUGUUCAGUGUGGACUUGCACUCCUGCCAUUCCCCCAGGGGCCGUUUUGAACCAGGGCCAAAACUUUCACAGCGGGUCAAAAGUCUGCACUCCUCCUCUCACUAACCCACAGGCGGGUGCCCUGCUCACCUCACACCAGAGGCAGACCCUGCUGGAGGACUGAGGUUAGCGCACACCGCUAACAGCACUGAAACCAGGGCAGUGCCGUAUGAUGGGCCCUUCAUGAUUUCCAAGCAAAGGAGUGCGGUUGCCCAGAGCAUGACUGUACAAAUGAAUUUCUUUUCUGCAUUAGGAGGCCAUUUUACAUGUCUCUCAAAAUGCACCACAAAGGAUGGCCAACACCCGUUUCUAUCUUUAGAAGGGGGAAUCCACCCAAAGCUGUCAAUCAUGUGGUCUAAUCUCUCAGAAAAAAAAAGGUAAGUCAGAGCACACAGCUUAAUACUGUAAAUACAUUAAUUUAUACAGAAAUAUAAAUUGAGAACAUCAGCCAUUUUCUCAAUGAAGGCAUCCCCAUUUAUUAGAUCAAGAAGCAUGAUUGUGAUUAUGUAGGGAAAAUGUGGGAGAAAAGUAAAGCAUGUGUACACCUGAAAAUAUGCAGCAUUUCUAAGAAAACAAGCACAGGACUAAAGAUUUAUCUGCUUCUGGACUUUACUCACUGCUUACUUUUUCUUGGACUCCGUCUAUGUUUUUCCAAGAGCUGGGAACUAUGCAGAAAAAGGUCAAAGAAAUAAUGAUUUGGAAAAAAAAAAAAUGUGUAUUAAUUUUUUGUAAUACUAAAUUACAGCCUUAUGAAAAGCAGGGAUUAAUGGACUCAGUCCUGCUUUGUAUAUCUCACUGGCACUCAGUGAAGAAACACUUUAUAAAUCACACUAGACG